AGAUGGGCCUGCGGCGCAUUAGCUAGUUGGUGGGGUAACGGCCUACCAAGGCGACGAUGCGUAGCCGACCUGAGAGGGUGACUGGCCACACUGGGACUGAGACCCGGCCCAGACUCCUACGGGAGGCAGCAGUAGGGAAUUUUCCACAAUGGACGAAAGUCUGAUGGAGCAACGCCGCGUGAACGAUGAAGGUCUUCGGAUUGUAAAGUUUUGUUGUCAGGGAAGAAUAAGUUCCGUUGGAACAGGGCGGUACCUUGACGGUACCUGACGAGAAAGCCCCGGCUAACUACGUGCCAGCAGCCGCGGUAAUACGUAGGGGGCAAGCGUUGUCCGGAAUUAUUGGGCGUAAAGCGCGCGCAGGCGGUUAUGUAAGUCUGGUGUUAAAGCCCGGGGCUCAACCCCGGUUCGCAUCGGAAACUGGGUGACUUGAGUGCAGAAGAGGAAAGCGGAAUUCCACGUGUAGCGGUGAAAUGCGUAGAGAUGUGGAGGAACACCAGUGGCGAAGGCGGCUUUCUGGUCUGUAACUGACGC
rnacentral:rRNA from 1 species